GCUCAGGAUGAACGCUGGCGGCGUGCCUAAUACAUGCAAGUCGAGCGAAUUGACAGAGAUGCUUGCAUCUCUCGAUUUUAGCGGCGGACGGGUGAGUAACACGUGGGUAACCUACCUAUAAGACUGGGAUAACUUCGGGAAACCGGAGCUAAUACCGGAUAAUAUUUAGCUUCGCAUGAAGCAAUAGUGAAAGACGGUUUUGCUGUCACUUAUAGAUGGACCUGCGGUGUAUUAGCUAGUUGGUGAGGUAAUGGCUCACCAAGGCAACGAUACAUAGCCGACCUGAGAGGGUGAUCGGCCACACUGGGACUGAGACACGGCCCAGACUCCUACGGGAGGCAGCAGUAGGGAAUCUUCCGCAAUGGACGAAAGUCUGACGGAGCAACGCCGCGUGAGUGAAGAAGGUUUUCGGAUCGUAAAACUCUGUUGUAAGGGAAGAACAAGUACGUUAGUAACUGAACGUACCUGACG
rnacentral:rRNA from 1 species